UACGAAGGGGCUAGCGUUGCUCGGAAUCACUGGGCGUAAAGCGCACGUAGGCGGAUUGCUAAGUCAGGGGUGAAAUCCUGGAGCUCAACUCCAGAACUGCCUUUGAUACUGGCACCUUGAGUCCGGGAGAGGUGAGUGGAACUGCGAGUGUAGAGGUGAAAUUCGUAGAUAUUCGCAAGAACACCAGUGGCGAAGGCGGCUCACUGGCCCGGUACUGACGCUGAGGUGCGAA
rnacentral:rRNA from 1 species